GUAAAAACUCCCGCGAACUACCAAGGGUCCAAAAAAAGUCGGAAGUCCAACUUUGACAAGACAUUUCUCGGCCGUUUUUCAACCGAUUUCAAAACUUUUUUUUGCGAUGGAACCGGACAGGUUUCAAGAUCAUCGUCAAUUGAAAAAAAUAUAAAAUAGAUGCGUCUACCCAAAGUUAUUAGGCAAAACGCACUUCCUAGUUUUUUUGAGAGUGCAUUUUUUGCGCACAUUGAUCAAUAAAACAAAAUUUAAAGCGAUGACAUAUAGUUUUUUCGACUCUAAAUCAUGCGUACAGCUAGAGUGAACAUGUUUAUGCAAAAGUAGUGAUUUUUCAGUACACUGAUAGUUUACCUACUCAAAAAACUGCUAAAAUACCCUAUUUUUCACAUAAAAUAAGCAAUAAAUCAAAAUUCAAAGCGAUGACAUAUAGUUUUUUUGGUCUUAAAUUGUUCGUAGGAUUGUACUCGACAUUUUUGAUGAACAAUGAAAAUGUUCUAAUUACACUCUUAUUUUGUUUUACCCGGAGAACUACGAAAAUUCCAUAUUUUUUACACAAAGUAGUCAACAAAACUAAAUUUAAAACGAUUACAUGUAGUUUUUUUAGCCUUGAAAUGUUUGUAGCAGUUUGGGGGACAUACUUAAAGAAUAAUAGUGAUGUUUUCAUUACACUCAAAUUUUUAUUCACUCAAAAAUCAACGAAAGUACCACAUUUUUCACGCAAAGUGCUUAACAAAAAUAAUGGCUUACAAUGCAAAGUAGUUUUUUACCUUUAAAUUAUUCGUGAAAGUGUACUGGACGUUCUUGAUGAGUAAUAGUGAUGUUUUCAUGACACACUUAAUUUAUUUUACUCGAAAAGCUACAAAUAUACCAUAAUUUUCAUACAAAACAGUCAAUAAAACAAAAUUUAAAGCCAUAACAUGUAGUUGUAUGGCCUUAAAUUUUCCGUUACAAUGUACUGGACCUGUUUUUGAUAAAAUGUUGAUGUUUACAUUACACUAAUAUUUUGUUUUAUAAAAAAAUUUACGAAAAUACCACAAAAAAGCGAAUAAGCCAAAAUUUAAAGUAAUGAAAUGUAGUUAUUCAACUUUGAAUUUAUCGUAUUUAGUGGGUUUAUUUGAACAAUUCUCGUGAAUUUUUUAUUACACUCAUAUUUUAUUUCACUCGGAAUACUAGGAAAAUACCACAUUUUUCACACAAAGUAGGCAACAAAUUAAAAUAUAAGGCAAUGCAUUCUGGUUUUUUGGCUUGAAUUUUUUCGUGAAAUGAUGAACGUUGAACAAUACCGCCUUCAUGACACUCUCAAUUCAUUUUACCAAACAAGUUUUUAAAAUACCAUAGUUUUCUUACAAAACAGUCAAUAAAACAAAAUUUAGAGCAAUGACAUGUAGUUGCUAGUCUUAAAAUUUUCAGUUGGAAUGUACUAGACAUGAAUUUGAUAAAAUUUUGAUGUUCAGAUCACAUCCACGUUUUGUUUUACUAAAAAAUCACGAAUGUGCCAUAUUUUUCACACAAAAUAGCCAAUAACAUAAAAUUCAAAACAAACACAUGCAGAUUUCUAUUACUGACUUUUUGUACCAGUUUCAGGUUAUCUACUUCCUGAAAAAAAUACAAGGCAAACCAAAAAUUUACCAGCGUUUUUUUUAUUUGUUUUUAUUUGAGUCCAUUUGCGUCUCCUGAACAUGCAGUAGCAAUCACCAAAAAAUAAACGGAAAUCCCGUGAAAAUGAAAAAAGUUACGAACUUAACUGGUUUCUAAAGUUAAGGUUAGGUUAUGUGUCUUUAUUGGAAAGAUUUUCAUCCUUCUUUCAUUCCUGUGUUACGUUUAAGUUUGUUUCGACACUAUGUUAGUUAGAACAUCGAAAUGAGAACACAAAAUAUACGCAGAAACAACAAUUAUUAUGCUGAAUCCGCCACGCACGUCAACAUCGUUUCGUUCAGUGUAAAUCGUUUCGAGCAUCAACGACCAAUUCAAAUAACCGUCAACAUAAAGGCCUUUCGCACAGCGGCGACGUAAAAGCAAGCGCCGCCAGACAAUGACGGUUUGAUUGCACUAACACAGCCGCAAAAACAGCAGCAGCAGAGCUCGAUCCGAUCGCCCGUUUUGUUUCACCGUCAGAUCAAUUGUCUCCGUCCGUUCGAUCGCAUUGGAAGCGACCACGCGAGUGAAAUUUGUUGCCUACCAAUUCCGCAUGGAAACUUCCUGCUGGCGAGAAAAAUAGCACGACGUACAACUAUUCUUGUGCUCCGCAGGACGACGGGACGAGUUGGCUGAAUUAGCCCAUUGUCAGCACGUGCGGGUUAACCUCCAAAAACGUUGGCCACACCGGAAUCCAGUUAAUCGGUCGGUUGGAAGAUAGAAUCGCCCACAGCACAUUGGAGAACAUCGGACCCGACGAGUUAAACCGACACACCGCUGGAAGCACCGCGUGGGGUGCGAGCGCACGAAAACGACGCCAUAUUGCCGGACAGUGCAUUUGCGCGGGACCAGAGGCCUUCCGAAGGAAGGCCUUCGUUUACACCUUUAUUUCCAGUUUCGCUUCGCGAGACGGAAGCAGUAGCGCGCAGCUCCAGCGGGCACUCCCGAUUACGGAUUCGACAUCGAGGUCGAGUGGACGAGACGAAAAUUCCCACUACGGUUGUGGAUUCGGCCGGUCUCGCUCGACAGGAACAAGAUCCGAGGAUAAACAGCGGAGGCCAGCGGCGAAUAGGGUAGCUCCGACAGAUUCCAUCCACGGAGUUGCCCGGGUCCGCUAAACGAACUGCGAUCAGGGUGACUGGACGUCACAUACGUACUCACUCCGGUCCGACAUCGACUGGGCGCUCUCGACGGUACGACGUGGCACGGUGAGAAGCACCGGUGGGCCAAAUUCCCGACGGUUCGAGGACGAGUACGAACAGCGAUGAUGGGUCAGCGGAUGACCAGUGCGUUGGCGGCGGAGCGGCAUGGGGGACGCCCCAAGAAGAUAAGUGCUAGCAUUUAAGAUCAUAUUUGGCGAUUGCCAACUCCAAAUGUUUAGCUAGUAAGCCAAUAAGCUAGAGAGGAAGAUGGGUAGACCCAAAUAUAUGUAUUAAUCUGCGAUUUGAUGUUUUUGUGGUUUGCGUUGAGCCUUUGCCCUUCAGUGUUUGCGGUUUUCGUUUUUUUUUUAAGCCUCGCUAACGGUAUCUUGCUCUAUCCGCUACCGGGGAACUUGCAACACCUGUUUCUUGGGAUUCCUUUUCAAAUUCGUCUCGGAGAUUCUUUCGUAUUCCUAUCGACGUUUUUACCCUGAAUUCAAACAGUUAUUUUCGGAAAAAUUCCUGGAGAAUAUUGCAGGAUUUUUAAAAUCCCAAUAUUGUCCUUGAAGGUUUUUAUGAGAAUCCUAUAGAUUUUCUUCCAGAGGUUUUCCCAUAUUUGCUCUCAGAGUCUCUCGUUGGAUUUUUCCUCCUGUUUGGGCAAAACAAAUUUUCGUGGAAUUUAUUCUCUUUUCUCCGGGAAUAUACAUCAGAUGUUGUCGU